GGGCCUAUAGCUCAGUUGGUUAGAGCAGCAGACUCAUAAUCUGCGGGUCGAAGGUUCGAGCCCUUCUGGGCCCA
rnacentral:tRNA from 10 species